rnacentral:lncRNA from 1 species
AUCAAACUCAGGUCCUUGUGCUUGUGCAGCAGGUGGCGAAAUCACUGAGCUAAAUUCCCAGUCUCUUUCUUUCUUUCCUUCCUUCCUUCUUCCUUCCUUCCUUCCUUCCUUCUUUCCUUUUUUUCCUUUCUCAGAGUCUUGCUAUGUAGUUCAGGUUGGCCUCAAACUCAAGCUGAUCCUCCUGCUUUAGCCUCGUCUCACUAUUCCAGGCUGGGCUUGAGCAUACUGUGUAGCCCACACUGGCCUUCAACUUGUGCAAUCUUCCUGCUUCAGCCUCCUGAGUGCUGGGAUUACAGGUGUGCGCAACCUCCCUCCCCCAGGCCAAGG